AAGGAAGGAAAGAAAGAAAGAAAGAAAGAAAGAAAGAAAGAAAGAAAGAAAGAAAGAAAGGCAGAGACAGAAAGAAAGUCUGUUACUACAAGAAAUCCAUCUGGCUCACUGCUGUCAAAGAUGGGUAGACAGUGCUCCAGUGAGUCAGCAAAGUGGAAGUGGCAUCUGGUCCCUUUCUGAGCAGCCACUGUGAUCUGUGCCUCAGUGGAAACCAGAACUAAAGACAUUUUAAAAACAAAAUACCAUUUAUGUUAGUAUCAUAUAAUAGCAACUAAAAACAAAAGCUUUGCAGCACCAGUGUGACUGCUGAGCUGCAGCUUUGCCUUACAAAACUGACCUCAUCAGAUGCUCUACCACCUUAGCGGACAUGUAGCUAAAGCCUCUAAUCUGCUGGAGAACAGGCACUCUAGAUCCAACUAAAGUCCCAUCAGAAAAAAAGAAGUCUAAUGAAUAGAAAAGAAAGGGGUAAUAAUGCACUUGGGAGCUUUGUCCUUGAAUGCUCCAUAUGCUGAGAUGAAUAUGCUUUCAGUACUCUGGAUCAGGUUAGCUCAGAUCAUUCUGAGUUUAUAAUCUAUCUUGCUAAAACACAAAUUGUGGUUCUACAUUUUCCCCUUCUUUUCCUUGGAAAGUUAAUGAAGCUCUUUUCUUUGGGUUUUAUCCAUCUAAAUUCUACAAACACAAUGUUCUCAUACACUAAGACGUUCUCUUUCCAAGGUGGUCUGGAUUUAAAAUAUCGUAGGCAUGCUGCUAGCAAAACAGAAGCGGAGCAAAGUGGUGUAGUGUGACAACACAGGUUCUUUUAAGCACACUGAACUUUUGUGGUAAGAACUGCAAAGGUCAGGUGUUAGGUUUUGUACUGGUGAGUGUCAGGAUUAAAAUUCAGCAAGGGAGUGUUGGACCUGUGUGGCUGAUACAGUAGUCUUGAUACACUUACUUGCUUGGGAACUCAGAUCAAAGGACCUAGAAAGGUCGGAAAGCUGAUGUGCUAAUUCCCCAGCAGUGUGUACAGAAAGCCUAGUGUGUCCCAAAGUGCAGUGGCCACUCCUUAGAUGCCUUUGAUCCUUAUCUGGAAACUUUGCUAGCAUCUGUCCUAUAAUUGAGGCAUAGUCUUUUAUUGCUGCAAUUAAAACUUUCCAAAUGCACUAUGUUAUCUCUGCUCCAGCUAAAGUCCAGACCAUUGUUUGAGGGGUGAGGCUAACAAUCCGUCAGAUGCCGGACUUGAAGGCCCAGCUCUCACACACCCCCAACCCGUGACUUCUCUAGCUUUUUCAUUUCCAUCUCACCAAACAGCAUAAUGGUCCUGAAGUUUGUUCAUCCCUUUGACUUCCUUUAUCACAUAGAGAUGGCAAACAUUCUGUUGCUAACUUGAAGUGGCUCCAAGCUGCAAGCCUGGAAGGAUAUUAAACCAGUAAAAGCUUAUCAGCUGAUGCAUUGAGAUGCUAUAAAUUCCAGGCUUUUCAUUUUGCUUUUGAGGGUGGCCCUAAGUCAACACAUUAGUAAGCAAUUUGCUGACAUUAGAUGGAUCACUUAGGACUCUCCUGAGCAGACAGAGUUCACCUAAAUGCUUUUGUUGGUAUUUUUUUUAACUUUUAGCCAGUGUACUGUUUUCAAAUGACCACUAAUUGCUUUACAUAUCAAGUACCUGGACUCCUGGUUAUUAAAUUUAUCAAAUAUCCAAAAUAGGAGAUUUAAAAGGAAAAAAAAAGUUAAGGUAUUCAUAUUUCUAAAUUGAAAUUUUGUUUUAUCUGAAAUUCAUAAUAUUAAGCAUUAAUGUUUAAAAACUAGAACUAAGUUGACAUGUUUUUCUUGUUAUCCUUGCCCUUUGAAGUAUGAAGGUUAUUAAUGAACAUAAGUGAGGAAAUAAGAAUUUCUGAAAAUAAGAAUUUGACAUUUCAGAAAUAUUUAGUAGUUGCUUUGGAUUGAUUACAGUGAGCACUCAGUCAAUGUGUGUUGACUUGACUUUUUCAAGUAUCAGCUCUAGCCGUGCAGAGAUUCCUGUUGCUGAGCUGAGCAAUCAGACUCUAGAGAGCAAGAGCAGUCCUUUCUGCCCCUUCAGAAACACAUCCUGAGAAACUUCAGGGUGGUGACAAUUUUACAUUAGUGUUGUGCUUUUCAGCUCAACAUUGGUGUUUUGUUGAAUUUUGCCACCAGAAAUCACUUCAAAAUUUAGAGAAGCACCGUUCUUUCCCCUUUUCUCUCCUCCAAGUAGGAAUUUGUAUUGUGCUGCUUCCAAAAAUGUACAUUUAGGGCAUCUCAUUUCUUUUUCUAAUUUUUUUAUUGGAUAUUUUAUUUGUCUACAUUUCAGAUGUUAUCCCUUUCUCAGUUUCCCCUCAGGAAGUCCCCAAACCCCUCCCCCUACUACUCUGAGGGUCCUCACCCACCCACCUACCCUUUCCCGCCUCCCCGUGGCAUCUCAUUUCUAAUCUUUUGCAAACCUGAAGUCAACUUUUUUUAGUAUGAAGAACUUUACAGAGAUGGAUCAAGUACUUCCCUAGAUCUGUGUUACUCAUCUGAGGAAAUAAGAAAUGUACACAAAAUAGAUAACACUGGCCCUCAAGGGGCCCAGAAGUCCAAUGGGAGAGCAGAGGAGAGGUCACUUUCAGCUCCUAGCACAGCAACACAUAAAGUGCAGGAAGAGAAAAAAAGCAGCAGCUAUUCACAAAACUAAGCAAACACGUAGGCCAGACCACAGGGUUCCUUCAAGACAUCUUUUCCUGAAGUCAGUAGUGACAGAUGACACAGACUAGGAAAAGCCAGGGCAGUCCCAGCUCUGGCCACCUAAGUUCUAAAACACAGUACAGUUUGCCCUCUCCUCAUCCCCCAGGAGCCUGCAGGUCCCAGGUCAGUGCUGUUCCUGCUACUUUAGGAGCUCCUCAUUAAAAGAACAGUGUUUGUGGUCUUUGAUCCUCAUGGUGGGACACUGACUGUUAAAUACUAGCUUAGUCCCUAGGCUGUUUUCAUAACCAGCCGCACACAAAUGGUGUAAGCCCUUUUCUACUUCAUCUGGCAAGACUUGUAAGUGAUAAAGGGAAAUGUAGUUUAGGUUGAAUAAAAUGCCUUUAACCAUCAUCUCAUAUGAAAGAAGUUAUUUUUUGUUUAAAAACAAUUUCUUUCAAACUACUAAAGUGUACAUUUUAAAAUAAUAAGGUUUAUAAAAUUAAAAAGUUAAAAAGAAGUGUGAGCUGGAAGUAUAAAAGGUGACACUACUCUGUCUGACAGUAAGUUCCUCCCUGAAUUCCAGGCCAGCCAGAGCUACAAAUUGACAUUCUGACUCAAUAAAACAACAACAAAAAAUAUAUUAAAUUUCAAGAAACAGUAAAUGCCAUGAGAGCAGACAAGGAGAAAGAGAGGGAACAGAAAAUGGCUUAUUCAGAAUAUGGGAAUAUGGGAAGAUGAAUGUGAACAGAAACAAAGCCAAUGGACCCCUCCCAUCCCUAGAAUGAUGUCUUGAGAGGCCUGGCAUGCAAGCUGCCUUGGGCCAUCUACAGGAUGGCAGGGUCCAGUGUUUCGCUGGUUGGUAGGCAGCCUUAUAGUGGAUUAGGCUUGGAGCUGGCCUAAGAGGCCACUGGAGAGUAACAGCCAUAAUACAUAAGCAGUGCCAACCAGGGAAGUGCUCAGGGACAGACCACAGGAUUUGCUCACGAAUCAAUGUAGGAUCUUGAGAAAAGAGGCCUACAGUUGUGGCCGUAUGAUUUGGGCUCACAUAUCCAAACUUAGCUCUGUUUUGGAUUGGGGGAGGACCCCUUAGGCUUGCUGCUUGGGGUGCCUGUGAGAUCUCAAAGUGAAGUGCUUCCUGUCCUGAACUAAGGAGCAAAUAGUACUACAAUAAGCUGCAAGGUACAGAAGGAAAGGACAGAGAAAAAGAGUAAGGUUCAGCAGACAGCUAGUAGAGAGGUGAGAGAACACCAUGUCUGGAAUGCCCUCUUAUAUCUCAUGCUCCCAGAAGGGAAUGACCAGGUGUGGGUGUGGGAGGCCCCUUGGUCCCCAGCGUGGACAUGUCAAGAGAGCCUCCCAGAGGAGAGAGUAGUGUGCUUAUCAUUAAGAGGUCUUGGAGCUAUGAGAUGGGAACAGCUGUAGCUAAUGACAAUUAUGUGAGGGAUAUGAAUACUGUAUUCCAGAUGACAGGACCCAGCCAUGAAAUGAAAGGGAUAUAAAUACUAUAUUCCAGAUGACAGGACUCAGCCAUGAAAUGGAAACACAGAAAAAAAAUUUUAAAUACAAAUUUUUCCCUUUUCUCUGGCCUUUUAAGUUGUUGUGAAUUAAUGUUUAGGGUAACUUUAUAAGUUAUUAGCAUGAGCUUAUCACUCACCUUUAACUGUAUGCUGUCUGUUUAAGUAGUGAUUUGAUGCCUAAAUCCACAUGUGGAUGUACAGAGUUAAUAGUUUCUUGCUCUACACACAUGCCCAUCACUUCUCAGCAGAACAGCUGCAGCGCUAAAGGAGCUGCCUGCUUAGCUAUACUGCAAUUCCAGUAUUCUAUCUUUUACCAAGUCUUGCUCUGCACUGCCACAUAUGUUGAGUCUUGUGUGACACUGCUCCUGAGAACAUGUGAACCCCAGAAAGGAAACCAACGACAAAGUCACAGUACCAACUUGGUGAACAAUGAGUUUAUCGAACUUAUAGAAAAGAGGAUGGAUGACUCAAAGGCAUAUACAGCAUGAAGGUAGUUCAGUGAAUCACAGGUCUCAGCAAUCUUUAACAUUUAUAUAAUCUUUGUGGAAGGGGCCUUGGCAAGUGCUCAAUUUUAGGGACUUCCUGAGUCUUGAUUAGCCUCUCUCCGGGAUAGAAUUUCUACAUAGCACUGGGAUCAAUGGUGACCACCUUCUCCUAGGGAAAGGGCCCCAGCUACCCUGGCCACCUUCACCUUCUCAGUGGGAGUGUCUCACAGAAAUCACAAAUGGAGAUGGUGUUGGCAGGCUCCAUCAUCUUAUUAGAACUGAGAAGGAAAAGUGAAUGAAUACAAAGGACAAAAGAAACAGCUUGACACAGCAAAGGAAAAGGAUUUUCCAGAUCUGAAAGCUAAACUUGAGUCAUCUCAUCAAAGGCCCUCAAUAUGACAUAAGGAGAGUCAGUGUUCCACUUAGUAAGUGCUGUGGAUGACCUCGGGCUGAGAAUUUCAAGGUACUGAAAGGAAGACCACCUGCACCACACAGAUAGAUGUCUCAGAGGUUCAGCAGAAGCCAGAAGACUGGGCAUUAGGGUGGGGUUGGGGGGAUAGCCUAGAAUUCUGUGUGAAACAAAUGAGAAGCAUGUGUAAGAACAGAGGCUAAGUGCAAAAAUGAGUGGAUAAGGAGGUAAUGAAUUUGACAGAGUGGAGAGAGGUGUAAGGGGUUAUUUAGUGGGAGGAUGGGAAGGGAGAAAUGUUGUACUUCUCUAAUCUCAGAAAGAGAUAAAAGGAGAAAACUCUCAAAGCAUGAAGAAAUAGAACAAAAUGCAAAUAACACCUCUGCAUAAGUCUAGUUAGUUAGGGUCUUCAAUAUGGAACAUCAAAAUCCUAGUGUGGCUUGCAGUACUUGGUCUGCUCUGGCCUGUGACUUCAGCCCUAGGUUUCUCCAUCUUUCAAUGUCACAGGUUCUUCUGCAUCAACUCUCACCAUUCUUAACUUCCUUAGAAUACCAUGCCACCAUAUCUUUGUUGGUUCUUGUGUUUAGAAUUCACUUUCUUUGGCUUCAUCCUCUCCCUGAUCUCUUCUAAAAUUGACCUUUAAAUUUGUAGCAGUAUCCUUCAGUGUAUUACUUGUGUCAUCACCUCCUCAGGAUGAAAUCCUCUGAAAGUUUCAAAUGCCCAUAACAUCUACUGUUACUGCACAGUGUUCGUGUCUCACAAAUUGCAAUUGUAUAUUAUUGGUGAUCUGUGUAAUUUCCCAGAAGGAAAAGGCUGUAGAUUUCCUGAGCCAUGUAUCUUUUUUGUAUAAUAAACAAGCUCAAGAACUCACUCACACAGUGGAUUCUCAUAUAUCUUUAAACAUGUAUCUUUAAAUAAUUGUGUACUCAGCUAUAUCUAAGAUGAAAAUUGUGAAUGUUGUUUAUUUUGCAAACCAAUACUUUCAGAUAUACUAUGCAACUGUAUAAUUACUAAGCCAUACCCUGAGUUUUUCCUGGCUGUUUGAAAUAAAAAUAUGAAGAAAAAAAAAAGAGGCCAAGAGAGACAUGAGUUCAGGUGGACAAUGUUAUUGACUCUAAAGGUCUUCUUGAGAGGAGCACUGAAGCUUGUAUUCCCUAAAGAAAGAAAGUAGCCCAAAUGGGGAGUCUGCGGUGUAAGUGGUUAAGCAGGUGUGAGAAGGUUGUCUCAUAGGCAUUGAAUCUGCCAAAACAAGAAUAACGCUGUGCCCCUAACAAGUUAAGACAGAGAACUCUAGUGUUUGCAAACCUGGCCCAGAAGAGGCUAGUUGAGUGCAAGCAUGCAAAGAUCCUCAUGUUGGCUCAGAGGAUGGAGAUGCUGCCUGACUUUGGGCUGUGAUAACUUAAGCAUGCAUCUAUAGGGUGAGAGCUAAAAGAAUAGAAUUAAAUUGGGUAGGGUAGAAAGUAGGGGAUGGUAGUCAGGGAUGAUGGGAGGAGGAGGCAAUGAAUCACUUAUAAAUGGCACCCAUGCAGGACCUGAAGCCUAAAUUCGAGGAGGGUGAGUGAGUGCUGUGCUUUCAUGGGCCUCUUCUUUAUGAAGCAAAGUGUGUAAAGGACAAACAAGUGAAGUACUUUAUCCAUUACAAUGGUUGGAAUAAAAAUUGGGAUGAAUGGGUGCCAGAAAGCAGAGUACUCAAAUACAUGGAUGCCAAUUUGCAGAAACAUCAAGAACUGCAACAGAAAAAUGUUGAAGUGAAAACAAAAAAGAACAAGGAGAAAACACUUGGAAAUGGAGUUGGUGGCAGUGCCAGUGAGACACCUCAGCCUCCUAGGAAGGAGAGAGCCUGGGUAGAUCCUAUCAUUUCUAUGAAAAUGAAGAAACAUUCAUGAGCAGAGCUGAAGUUAAAGUGAAGAUUCCUGAAGAGCUGAAACCGUGGCCUGCGGAUGACUGGGGCUUGAUAACCAGACAAAAGCAGCAUUUUAUCUUCCUGCCAAGAAGAGUGUGGGUUCACAGAUGAUAAGGAGUAUGCUGUUCAUGAGGCUGUGGCAGGAAUGAAGGAGUACUUCAGUGUAGUGUUAGGCACUCAGCUACUCUACUAUUUUGAGAGCCCACAGUAUGCUGAAAUUCUCACCAAUCACCCAGAUGCACCCAUGUCCCAGGAGUAUGGAGCGCCACAUUUACUGAGAUUAUUUGUGUGAAUUGGAGUGAUGUUGGCCUAAACACCUGUAGAUGAGAAAAGCCUUGCUUUAUUACUGAACUAUCUACAUGAUUCCCUCAAGUACCUGGUGAAGAAUUCUGCAACUGUGUUCCGUGCCAGUGAUUAUGAAGUGGCUCCUCCUGAGUACCAUCAGAAAGCUGUGUGAGGGGUGUGCUCUCUCUCUUCUCUCUCUCUCUCCCCUCUCUCUCUCUCUCUCUCUCUCUCUCUCUCUCUCUCUCUCUCUCUCUCGUUUGGAUCUCUGUAAAGAGUCUGGUUCUUAGUCGUUCUCUUGUACAAAUGAUGGACUUUGAAGACCAUUGGUGUAUAAUAGAGUUAGUGUUUGUUUCCUGUUUGAUUUUAAAAAGAAAAUAAAAGGAGUAACCGCUUUUUUUUUUUCAU